ACGCCCACACCACAUUGAAAACACCGGUUCUCGUCCGAUCACCGAAGUUAAGCAAUGUUGGGUCCGGUCAGUACUUGGGAGGGUGACGACCUGGGAACAUCGGGUGCUGUAGGCU